rnacentral:rRNA from 1 species
GACGAACGCUGGCGGCGUGCUUAACACAUGCAAGUCGAGCGGAGCGGCGAACGGGUGAGUAACGCGUGAGUAACUGCCCCCCUCUCUGGGAUAACAGUUGGAAACGGCUGCUAAUACCGGAUAGUGGGGGAUGUGUCGCGUCCUAUAAGCUUGUUGGUGGGGUAGUGGCCUACGAAGGCGACGCCGUGUAGCCGGCCUGAGCGGGCGACCGGCCAAAGUGGGCUGUGAUACGGCCCAAAAUCCUACGGGAGGCAGCAGUGGGGAAUAUUGCACAAUGGGGGAAACCCUGAUGCAGCAACGCGCGUGCGGGAUGACGGCCUUCGGGUUGUAAGCCGCUUUCAGCCAUGACGCGGAGGUGGCAGAAGAAGCACCGGCUAACUACGUGCCAGCGGCCGCGGUAAUUC